AAAUAUUAUUGAAGUGACUACUUUUUUCACUAAAUUCUUCGUCAAUGGAAAACUUCGGUGCAUUCUUCCGCUAUUCCGUUUUCCUUAUUGCUUACACUUGUGGUAUGUAUGCAACUACAAUUGCUAUUUGCGGUUUCCACUUGAACUUACAAUUUUUUUUUUCUCUAUAAAGUUUUUCUCUUUCAUUUUUAUUUUGUUUGUUAUGACAUUUGUGAUAAGGUAAAGAGGAGGCACACGAUAUGCAUUACCAAGAGUAAUAUCAUAGAAUAGUGUCGCCUAAUAAUCAGUAAAGUAGAAUGAAAUCAUAGAUCUCGUUCAAAUCUUACUAGAAACAAAAAGGCGCUGCACAAUUUUUCUAUAUAUGUCUAAGCUUUGAUAGAUAAAGUUAUUCGGGGUACGAGCAAGCUGAUAAUAUCACUUUGUAAAUUAUGACAAAAACAGAAGGAAAGGGUAUAUCACAAUUUUGUCCCAUAAUUUUUGAAAAGAAUAAAUAUGCAAAUCAUAAUCAUGGUUCCUUCUUAUUUAAAACCCACUAAUGAAUAUGAAUUACUCGACAAAAUGUGAUGUUAUUGAAUUGAACUUUUACAUUUCUCUUUUACGUAUGAAUUAUAAUAAUUAUUAUAUUUUUAUAGUGAUUUUGUAAUGUUUCAUUGGUAGCUAUGUUCGUAAUGACUCAAGUUCUCUCAACAAAUGCUCAGAAUGCAUUAUGUGAAGCAGAAUAUCCCGGUCCUUGUGUUCCAUGGAAUCCAUUUUGUACAGGUGAUUGUCAAAAUCGUUUUAGACCGAAUUUUGUUACUUCAGAGUGUGUGGAGAAAAAUCAUGAUACUGUUUGUGUGUGCUUCUACAAGAGUGACAAGCCAUGUCCACAACCAAAGACUCAUUAGAACUUGCAUCAUAUUCUUCUAUCACUUCCCAAAAGAAAUGUUAUGCAAAGAAAGAAAAGAUUGUAUUUUUAUUUGAUGAUACUACCGAG
rnacentral:lncRNA from 1 species